GCUCGUAUAGCUCAGUCGGUUAGAGCGGUGGUCUUAUGCAUCGAGCAAGCCGCAGGUCCGGGGUUCGAGCCCCCGUACGAGCA
rfam:Volvox carteri f. nagariensis unplaced genomic scaffold VOLCAscaffold_51, whole genome shotgun sequence.